rnacentral:lncRNA from 1 species
AUUCCCUUCGCUGAAAUCACUAGAGAUCAGAGUAAGAUCUGUACAGAUGAUCAGUGUGAAGAUUCUGAUGAGAGAUUCAGAGACAGACUGGAGAUGAAUAAUCAAACUGGGUCUCUGACCAUCAUGAACACCAAAAACACACACUCUGGAGAAUACAAAGUGAAGAUCGUCCACAGCAUCAGCCACCGCCACCGCAUCAGCAUCAUCCGCGUAGAGACAUUCAGUGUCACUGUCAUUGAUUCAAGUCUGCCUUCGGGUCUUAUAGCAGGAAAAUGUGCUGCUGCUGUUGUUUCUCUUGUCCUGCUGACAUUUCUAGCUGCUGCAUGUUUAAAGAUUUAUUGCAGCUGGUGCUGUAAUAUGGCUGAUUUAACGACUGUGAACUGAAGUUGUAGUCAAAAAAUUAGCUUGGGAGGGUGGAAAAAAUUCAGCUUGGCGGUUUUCCAACAUAUAAAUUGUAUAGGCUAACUUGCUGACAAACAAUCCCAAGUGUGAACUGAUGGAGACUGCACCGAUGGAUGAGGAGCCCAGGAUGGAGCAGAGCAGCCGCAGAGCCAGGGUGACGCAGAGGAUCCGGAGGGCCAAGGUAGAGAAGAAGGCUCAGGCGACCAAGGUGGGAGAGAGAUGGCAAUAGAAAAGAGCAUCUCUCCUUAUAGGAAAAUUAUGGAGUAUAUAAAACAGACUUAUAACAUGUUUCUGCAGUUGUGAUCGAAAAAUAGAAGAAUGUGAAAUAAAUGUGACAUUGAGAACUUAUUUCUCAGUUGAUGAAGAAUAUAUAUUGACAGUUUUUAGCUGAAUAACUUUUUGCUUUUGCACAAAAUAUCAAAACCAAAUAACUGUGACCAUUACUAAAAUGUUAUUUUUGUAAAAAAAAAAAAAAAAAAAAAAAAAACCUUCUAGAUUUAUUCGUGUACUUUCAUGUCUAUGUUAAAAAAGGAGGGGGAUUGACAGUUAAGAGGUUAAAAUAGGAAUAAACAUGUGAUAUAUACAUUUUGUUUUAUAUUCAUGUACGCAAAAUAGUUUCAAAAUACAUUUUAUUACCAAUGUUAUUCAUUUGAUUAGAUUUUUAUGCUUACUUUUGUUCAAAUAUGCUUUGAAAUGAGGAGCAGUAAAUAUAUAACACUAAAAUAAUUGAAUCAGCUAUAUUAAUUGAGCAGCUCAUUAACAUUUCUCUUAAUGUGAUAAAUACACCACAUCAAACUUCCACCUAACAUUACUGUUUUAAGAUUAACAGACCACAAUAUUUUUAUAACCUGUUGUAUAUCAAUUUGUUCAAGAAAUGUAUUAAGUGUAUUUUAGGAUAUGUUAUGAAAACAUUAGAAUUGUUGCAUGGGUUGAAACAUACCUUUAGUUUUGAUGCCAAAUCACUGAACAUGUGAGUCACAGAAUCAUGUAUUCACUGGUUUCAUUGGAAGUGGCUGAUUUCAUUUUGUGAUGACUGAACUUUAGGCUCAAGGUAUGAGAUAAAUGUAUACCGUAAGCAAUUAUCAUAACUGUGUGUUGAAGAUGAUUUGUUUUUGUGAUGUAAAUGUUUUUGAAGAGCUGAAAUACUGUGAAAAGCCAAACUCCUCUCAGAAGCCUGUGUUAGAAUCUUAUGAUGUAAAUAAGAACCAGUAAUGGAUUAUAAUUUCAUUAAUGUUUACAAUUUUUAGCAAAGAACAUUUCUGACAUAGUUUUGGUUUUCUUUAACGUUGCAUGUAAAUGAAACUAGAAAAGGAACUUAAAAAAAAAUGUUUGUAUGCUUGUGAUAAAUCUGAUUCAUUUACAACAGCUGGAUUCUGUGAGUUUCAUUUGCUAUCAGAGAACACUGUCAUCGAAAACAACAAAAAUUCAGAAAAACUCUUUUAAGAUUAAGGCAUAUUGUAUUAUGAUAUUAUAAUUAUAAUAGUAAGUUAAAUAAUGAUAAUUAAUUAUAUGUUGCUUUCAAAGAAAUUGACCAGAGUUAACCAUUCUCCAGGGUUUAUGUUCAUACACAUGUACAGUGCCCUCCAUAAGUAUUGGAAGAGUAAAGACACAUUUUUCCUGUUUGCUGUGGAGUCAAGAAAUCUGUAAAUAUGAUUAACAGAUGAAUAUGAAACACAACAACAGGAUGUCACAUUUCAUUACUGGGUAAGUUUUACCAGCUAUGAAGAUCAGCACUUCUAGAGUUUCAUCUCACUGUCUGAUGUGAGCAGAAGUAUUGGAACAGUUGCCUCACAGAUCUUUCUAAGUGUUCAGCCCAGUCCUGUUGCAUUCAUUCUUCAGAUAUUAAAAGCAGGGAAUGUGUCUUAUCAGUUAUAUCCAUUGCUUCUUCAUUCUAAGUCUUGCAUUCGAAGAUGACACACAAACCAGGAUGAAGAUGAGGAAGCCAACUCUGCAGAAAAGCAAGCAAUUUGGAUGCUAAAAUAAAAGAGGAAGUCGAUUAGAACAACAGGGGAAAAAAGGGCAUGGAGAAAUCAAGAGUUUAGGAACUAGUUGAUGGACCGAUGAGACAAAGAUGAACCUUUAUCUAAGUGAUUGGAAAGCAGAAGUGUGAAGAGAAAAAAGGGAACUGCAAAUGAUCCCAAGCAUACAACCUCAUCUGUAAAACUUGGUGGAGGUGGUGUCAUGGCUGUCUCUAGAACAGGACCUCUUCAUUUUAAAGGCUGGGGAAAAGCAUUUCAAAGCAUAAGAGCAAGAGUCUGCUGAUGUCUAUGGGUUGCAGACUCACUGCUCUGAUUGCAGGCCAGGCAUCUGCAAUUAAAUAUUAGCUUUUAAUCGUUUACAUCUGCCUUAAAUUCAGCUGUUCCAAUACUUAUUUUCACAUCAAAUAGUUGGAUGAACUCUAAAAGUGCUGUCCUUUUUAUUUGGUAAAGCAUGUAUGUGUCGAAAGACCUAAUAAUAAAAUGUAACAUUCUGUAGUUUUGUCGCAUAUUCAUCUUUUAAUCAUAUUUGCAAAUGUCUUGACUCCACAGCAGAGAAAGCAAUUUUGUCUUCACUGUUCCAAUACUUAAGGAGGGCAUUGAAAAUAACUGAAAAAUUCGGAGCCAGUUGGAAGUUCACAUUAACUAUUGUUCAAUUCAAUUCAAGUUUAUUUGUAUAGCGCUUUUUACGAUACGAAUCAUUGCAAAGCAACUUUACAUCAAAUUUGUAUGACUAUUUUGUAUUAGUCUCUUCUGUUCACCAAGGAUAAAAAAAUAGCUGUCAUUGGGUGGUAGAGACCGCCAAAGAAAGAACAGGGUCUGGGUCCAAGUGCAGGAGAGAAAUUACUAUUUAAUAAAUGAGAACGAAAAAGGCCAACAAGGCAAAAACAAAACAGAACCAAACAACAGGAACACGAGCAGAAGAAACCAGAACAUAAAACACGAAGGACAAACAACAACCAACAAAUCACAAUUAACAUUAAUCCAGCCCGACAGAGUUGUGUGAGAGUGAAGAAUAUAUAGCCAAGAACAAUGAGUGGGUGAGCAGGUGUGUGUGUGUGAGCGGGUGAACAGGUGUGUGGACUGAAGGUAAUGAGUCCUGUAGACAGGGAGAAACACAGGUGGAACAACUAAACAAUAAUGAGGUCACAAGGUGGGCGGGGUCAGAAAAUAGACAGGAGAGAGAGCACAUGGCACCAAACAAGCACAACACUCACAGAAGACAGGGACAGAAAGACAGAAGACUGUGACAAUAGCAGUAUUACAAUACAAUAUUAACAUAAAAUAUUAUAAAAUAUUACAAUAUAAAAUGAAUCUGUUCUAUGCAAAUAUGCGCUAUUAUUAUUUUUUUGUUCUGUGUAUUUUGUUUAUGUUAAUGACACGUGUGGAGAUCCUCAUGAAUUCCUAAAGUCAACAGAUUCCGAACUCGAUGUGUUUGAUGAAAGUUUCUCACUUCUCAAGGCGGUAGGUGCAAACUCAACACGUUCUUCUUCUUCACCAUUCUGUAAAAAAUAAUACAAAUAAUACAAAUAAAAAAAUAACACAAUAUACUUUGGUAACAAAGCUUAGA